rnacentral:rRNA from 1 species
UGGGGAAUUUUGGACAAUGGGCGAAAGCCUGAUCCAGCAAUGCCGCGUGUGUGAAGAAGGCCUUCGGGUUGUAAAGCACUUUUGUCCGGAAAGAAAUCCUUGGCUCUAAUACAGUCGGGGGAUGACGGUACCGGAAGAAUAAGCACCGGCUAACUACGUGCCAGCAGCCGCGGUAAUACGUAGGGUGCAAGCGUUAAUCGGAAUUACUGGGCGUAAAGCGUGCGCAGGCGGUUUGCUAAGACCGAUGUGAAAUCCCCGGGCUCAACCUGGGAACUGCAUUGGUGACUGGCAGGCUAGAGUAUGGCAGAGGGGGGUAGAAUUCCACGUGUAGCAGUGAAAUGCGUAGAGAUGUGGAGGAAUACCGAUGGCGAAGGCAGCCCCCUGGGCCAAUACUGACGCUCAUGCACGAAAGCGUGGGGAGCAAACGGGAUUAGAUACCCUGGUAGUCCACGCCCUAAACGAUGUCAACUAGUUGUUGGGGAUUCAUUUUCCUUAGUAACGNAGCUAACGCGUGAAGUUGACCGCCCUGGGGGAGUACGGUGCAAAUUAAAAACUCAAAUG